UUAGGGGAGUGAUGAAAGUCCUUUCUUCUCUUUUCCUGCUGGACUUGAACCUGGAAGAAUGAGAGGGUACAACUGCAGCCACCUUGACUCAACAUGAAAGCUGGGAAUGAAGCUAACACCCAGAGAGAACACAGCCAAUACACCAAGAGGUGGAGGCCUGAGCACAUCACUUUAAGUCCCAAACCCAGAUCCCCCAGGACCCUCACUUAUUUCAACACAUUCCCAGGUGGGGUUGGGUCUUCUGAAACUUGCUAUAACAAGAAUCCUGACAAGACAUUUGCUUAAUAACUUGGCACAAGGUACCCAACAGCUUCACGCAGGGAAGCUCACUACAUCACAGAGUAUCUCAAAUGCAGGGAUUCUUUGGUCACUGACUAUCCCACAAAUCCUUGUUUACCUCUGAAUUAGAACUCUCUUAAAUAAUGUCUGAAGUGUCUAGUUUCACUUCCUCCUUUGCUCUCAGGAAAUCAGCGAAAUACCAUUUCUUGGAAUUUUGAGGAUUUCUGUCCUAGGAUGGUGGCUGCCAACUGGAGACAAUGACCUGGUUCCUGUAUAUUUCAGAUUCAUUGCUACAUGGGGGUGUUAAUAUGGAGAUAUUUGCUGCAAACAAAUAAAUUUGUGGAUUAUAUCCAUUUUCCAGACCACCUGAGAGUGAAGAAUUUGAAAGUGCUCUUACUCAAUAGCUAAAAGGAGAGGGGGUCCUGACCAUCACCUCUCCAAAAAGCUAGAAUACUGGUUUGAUUUAUGGUUUGCACUACAAAAUGCCAAUAAUGUAAAGUAAGAUAUAGGAAGAGGUGGUAAAAGCUUCAUGUAAGGUCAGAUUUUGGAACAAUUAAGCAGGGGAAGCCUUUUUUUUUUUUUUUUUUGGGAAGCCUUUUUAAACAUAAGUUACUGUUCAGAAACAUUUUUGCUGAUAGUAGACUAAAGCUGUCAGAACCUUCCGUGUCUCCUUUAGGGAAAGGAGGCACUUUUCAAUUCCAUUAUGUUCACUACAAGUCCUUCGUUGGAAAAUUAUGGUCAGUGUAGAGCAGAGAAAUGCCACCACUGUGUAGAUCAGGAUUUCUUAAGUUCAAUACUAUGGAGAUUUGGGGCCAGAUAACUCCUUGUUGUCGAUAGCUGUCCUGUCCAUUGUAGGAUGUUUACCAGCAUUCUCUACCCACCAGAUACCAGGAACACCCAUCCCCAACUAUCAGAACCAAAAAUGUGUCCAGACAUUGCCAAUGUCCCGUGAGGGGGAAAUUGCCCCCCAGUGGAGGACCAUGGGUGUACAGUUUCAGCCACUAAAACAAAACCUGUCACUGAAUUGAAACUGAACUGGUUACCCACAAGGCUUGGGCUACCAUCUGGUGCAGUUAUUAUGAAGAUUAAUGAAGAAGCUAUCUACUGUGGCUCACUUGGGAAAUUCCAAAAAGUAAAAUAUGGGCUGAUAAUCCUACAGUGGUUAAAUAAUCAGACUAUAAUAUAUUUAGAGUGUUUAUAAACUGUAAGCGAUUUCAGCUCAGUAAAGUUCCUUUUCUUUAAAUCAUUAUUUUACUGUAAACAACAACAACAAAACUAGUGUUUGUAUGAUUCCACUCAUCUAAGCUACCUAGAGUAGUCAAGUACAUAGAAAGGACAAGAGUGGUUGUCAGUUGGGGGAAAGGAGAAGUAGGAAGUUAUUGUUUAAUGGAUACAAGAGUUUCCAUUUUGCGAACUGGAAAGAGUUCUGGAGAUUAGUUACACAGCAAUUUGUGUUACUUAACACUACUGAACUGUACACUUAAAAAGGUUAGGAUGGUAAAUUUUAUAUUAUGUGUAUUUUACCACAAUAAAAAAAUAUAGUGUUCACCUCAUUUGUGGUUGAGAGAAAGUAAAACUUUUCCAUGAAUUUCAAUGCCCGUCUUAGUUUAUCCCAGACUGAAAAACCCCAAAAAGGGCUCUCUGAUUGGCCUGGCUUUGGAAAUGCCCAUGUGUAAACCAAUCAGAGGUGGACAGGAUGGGGGCAAUAUGAUUUUCUCAGGCUUCAGGAGAGAAGGAAAGAUCACAUACCCAUCCCUGACCCAAUUCACUCUAGCCAGGGAUGGGGAAUCUGUCAUGGCCAGUUUUCAUCCACACUAUACGGCUGGAAUGGGCAGAGAAGCAAGUUCUAGAAAAGAGUGGGAAAGGAGGUUCAGGGCAGACAAAAAAAAUAACUGAAUAUUCCAAUAUUCAAUCAUCAUAAUUAUGAUCUAGUGUUGUCUUUCCUAGUUCCCUCCUGUUAUCACUGUUACCAAACUGAAACUCAGCUGGUUACAUACCCAGAGCUUGGGAUACCAUCUGGUACAGUCAUCGUGAAGAUUAAUGAGGUGCAGGCUUUUGCAAACGGAAACACAUGACUUAUAAAAGCGUGUUGAAUAAGAGUCUGCAUUGCAUAGCCUGGGAAGAGACUGGAGUUGACUCCGGUUUAUUCAUUGCCUCAUCAAUGAAGGCAUUAGACAUUAGAAUGCCAGGUAAGAGCUGUACCACCAUGAACUUGGGAGUCAGUGAACCUGAAUUCAUAGCCCGGCUCCACCACUUUGGAGCGGGGGUCACUUCACCUCUCAGAGGCUCCAGGUUCUUAUAAAAAAUUAACCCAGGUGGCAACGUAGAGCAUCCCUACUACACAGGCUUUGGAAGAACACAGAUAUAGGCAGGUAAUUGGGGCAUAUCAUGAAGGCCUCAGCAGCAGUGAAGAUUGGAUGCUCACCCAGGCACUGCCCCCUGCAGGAGCUCACAGAAAUAGCCACCAAUUGACUGGCCUGAUGGACACUGACAUCCUUUGUGGUAGGAGGACUGCAACCCAGCUGAAGUUCUCAGGAGAGAAUGUGGUGGGCAUAGCUAAUCACCCCCACCCUUUUUGGGUAGGGUUUUUUCAGUUGAGCCCUUCAUAGGGUGCUCUCCUCUCUGGGUGGACUGGUCUGAGCCAGCUCCUCCUGCCUGGUUUGGACGUCUGUGGUCCAGGAGUAAGGUUUCAUGAUGUAGGAAGUGGGCACCUGUGGCUAUUCCCUCUGCAUGACUAGGGCACAGCUGUUUUUUAAGAGAGGAGGAUGGGCACCAUCUUAACCUAGUUCAAAGCCCACAUAUACACAUAGGCACUCAACCUGUGUUUGCUCUUAUCCUUAGAACAUCCAUGUACUGUGUUUCAGUGACUGUGUUGGGCACCAAGAAGUGAACAGGAUAGAAUAAAUACCUGACUACCUGAGCUCUCCAACCCAGUGAGGGAAGCACCCACAUCAGGAGUCAUGCUCUGUUUGGACCAAGGGUCAACCCAUCUAAUCACCUAUAUCCAGGGCUGGAGCGAAAAUGGGAUCUGAUUCUUCAGAACCUGCCCUUUUGAACAACAGAGGCUGAAGCCAGGGAAUCUUCCACCGAUGGGAUCAUGGUUCGAGUGAGCAGAGGAAGAGGAGACAGCAAGGAUGUGCAUGCGGAGAGGAAAGGCCAUUUGAGGACACAGCAAGAAGGUGGCCAUCUGCAAGCCAAGGAGAAGAACCUUGGGAGAAACCAACCCUGCUGACACCUUGUUCUUGCACUUUCAACCUUCAGAACUAUGAGAAAAUUAUCUCUUGGUUAAGACACCCAGUCUGCAGUAUGUUGUUAUGGUGGCCCUGUCAAACUAAUACAGGUCUUGGAAAACAUCUAAGAUUUACUGAGGAGUUUAGAAUUUAUUCUGUAACCAGUGGGGGGUGAUUUGGGUUGAAAGCUGGCAGUAACCGGAUCAGAGCUUUGGACAGGAGGAUCACUGCCAGAGAAGUACAAAGGAACUUUGGAGCAAGGAGAGGUAGAGACAGAGAAAAACCGGCCGGGAGGGAUUUUAAGAGUAUGGGUGGGAAAUGAUGAGAGUUCAAACAAAGGCAACUGGAGAGACAAAAGAAUGGUAAGAAGGUAGAAUCAGCAGUGUAUUGACCAGCUGGACAUGGGGAGCUGUGAAAGGAAGCAAUACAGAAUCCUGCCAGCUUCUUGAUUGGAUAGUGAUUGUAGUGCACAUUUAUGUUUCCCACCUAGCUUCCUCCAUCCCAAAAACACUCUAGAAUUGACCCCAAAUCUUCCCUAUUGUGCAGCCCUUGUGCUUUGGGGAAGCUCACCCUAUCCCAACAUUAAUGGCAGGCUUUUACUGACGUACACUAAUUAGCACAUGCCAUUGCUCUGGGUAGUUUUUGGUUCAGGAGUGAGCAUGUGAUCUAAACAUGCAAUGGAGGUGAGUGUCAGAACUCUCAACUGAAUGUUCUCCCCCACUGGACAAGAACAAGGAAGCUUAUAUACCUGACUUAACUGGCAAACAUCUUGUGAUCCCAGGGGAAUGAGCCAUAGACUAGAGCUGACCAUGUGCUGAGCAGAGCAAAGAUAGAUCCCCAAAGACACCUUCGGGCCGUUGGAUCAACUGACCAUGAAGUCCUGGACGCCCCAGUCAUGGAGUCUAGAAAUCCCCUGAUGUUUAAGCUGGUUUGAAUUGAAUUUCCCUAUUACUUGAAAGAUAGAUACAGAUAAUCAGGUGAAUGGUGGAGCCAUUAACUGGCAUAUGCAGGGAAAAGGAGGGGCUGGUUUGAAAGGAAAGAAAUUUCAUGAACUUUCACAAUCCCACCUCUUUGCUCAAAGUUGAUUCUUGGGUCUGGAACGACCCUCUCCUCACGUUUUUGGGCCUGCUAAAAAAGUCCUCCUCAUACCCAGAGGCCCCAUUCUUAUGCACCUUCCUUUGUAAAGCCUUUGUGAAUCCCUAUGAGGUCCAGGUCAGAGAUUAUCACUCUUUAGUAACUUCCAUAAUAUAUUGGACACAGUUCUAUUAUAGCUUUAAUCAUUUCAUGUUACUAUUUCCUCCACUGGGAACCAACCUCCUAAACAGUCCAGAACAUGUCAUAUUCAUCAUGUCCACACCAUAGCCCUGCAGCAUUUGAGCAUCUUGAAUAAAUGAUAGCUAUUCUUCCCCCAUAUUCUUCUCAUACUAAUGAAAUUCCUUGCCACUCCACCCACUUUGGACUGAGGUAAACUCUGGCUAUCAGAUCAUGGAUUAAAUUAUAUAAAGAUUACUCAAGGGGAUCCCUGGGUGGAGCAGUGGUUUGGCACCUGCCUUUGGCCCAGGGCGCGAUC